AAGUAAAUAAGUUGAAAUUCUAUCUCAUCUUAUCGAAUACACGCGUAUUCAACGAAAACGCGCAGAGAGAAAUUAUCCGUUAAUUAGAUAAUUAUAUCAGAGUGUGUCAUCGUAGGAUCGAUAUUCGUUUUUUCUUUUGUAAUUGUAACGGAGAGAGAGAGAGAGAAAAGGAAUAAGAAUGGGAGGACCGAUAAUAAUCGUCAAACGAUUACAGACGAUUGUUCUUUCGAAGAGAUGGAAAUCGUUCACGAAUUAACGAGGCAAUGAUAAGUAUAUACCGUAAUUUUUUCUCAUUUCUGUUCGAGCUGUUGAUUACAAAUGCAUUGUUCGUAAUAAUAA